rnacentral:rRNA from 1 species
UACAGAGGGCUCAAGCGUUGUUCGGAUUCAUUGGGCGUAAAGGGUGUGUAGGUGGCGCCGUAAGUCGGGUGUGAAAUUUCGGAGCUUAACUCCGAAACUGCAUUCGAUACUGCGGUGCUUGAGGACUGGAGAGGAGACUGGAAUUCAUGGUGUAGCAGUGAAAUGCGUAGAGAUCAUGAGGAAGACCAGUGGCGAAGGCGGGUCUCUGGGCAGUUCCUGACACUGAGACACGAAGGCCAGGGGAGCAAACGGG